rnacentral:rRNA from 1 species
UAGGGAAUCUUCCGCAAUGGGCGAAAGCCUGACGGAGCAACGCCGCGUGAGUGAUGAAGGUCUUCGGAUCGUAAAACUCUGUUAUUAGGGAAGAACAAAUGUGUAAGUAACUAUGCACGUCUUGACGGUACCUAAUCAGAAAGCCAAGGCUAACUACGUGCCAGCAGCCGCGGUAAUACGUAGGUGGCAAGCGUUAUCCGGAAUUAUUGGGCGUAAAGCGCGCGUAGGCGGUUUUUUAAGUCUGAUGUGAAAGCCCACGGCUCAACCGUGGAGGGUCAUUGGAAACUGGAAAACUUGAGUGCAGAAGAGGAAAGUGGAAUUCCAUGUGUAGCGGUGAAAUGCGCAGAGAUAUGGAGGAACACCAGUGGCGAAGGCGACUUUCUGGUCUGUAACUGACGCUGAUGUGCGAAAGCGUGGGGAUCAAACAGG